AGCCACCAGCGAGAUCUGAACUCGCACCCCUGGUUUACGAGACCGUGCUCUAACUCUGAGCUAUGGUGGC